AAAGUUGCGGUUCCGGUGUUCAGAAGGCCAAGGAUGCUGGGAAGCCUGAACUUGUUUAUCAGUUUGUUCGAAACUCCACCCACAGUUCAGUUUGGCCUGAGUGUUUUGUUCCGACACCGGUGCGAAGUGGCUCCCUUUACUGGUAUGGAAUGGACAAUGAUGAGAAAUAAAAACAAAAAGAUCUGCAGAAAGAAGCCAUGGUAAGAUUCAAGGCUUCACAGUCCAAAUGCCUGUGGACACUUGACCAAGUGACCUGAGAAAAUUGGAUUCCUGGAACAAGUGUAACUAGACUCAGGCAAGCAGAGUGGAGCACAGAGGAUGACUAGAUAAAAUGGAAAGAAUGCCCAGGCAUCCCAAUGCCCCCAUUGAUGUUCCAGAACUUCAAGACAUGACGAACUACAUAUGUACACCUGGAGGAGAGCCAGUUCCUGGGACUUAUGAUCUAUUCCUGAAGCUGGUGCCUCAUGGCCUUUCUUUGAAAUCAGGCCUGGUCCUCAAAAUGGAGAUAAAUGGGUUUUAUAUUUACCCUUUCAUGGGAAUGACAAAGUUCAGGAUCAAGCUCAGAAGCUCACAGCUGCCAGCAAGUACUCUACUACUGAACUGUACCCUCUCUCCAGCCCAUGCUUACUCUUGAAUAGCCACAAAAAUAUUCAAUGAUAUGGCAAAAUAAAACUCCAUUUCAUUUAGACA